UGGGGAAUAUUGCACAAUGGACGAAAGUCUGAUGCAGCAACGCCGCGUGGAGGAUGACACAUUUCGGUGCGUAAACUCCUUUUAUAUGGGAAGAUAAUGACGGUACCAUAUGAAUAAGCACCGGCUAACUCCGUGCCAGCAGCCGCGGUAAUACGGAGGGUGCAAGCGUUACUCGGAAUCACUGGGCGUAAAGAGCGCGUAGGCGGUUAUAUAAGUCAGAGGUGAAAUCCAAUAGCUUAACUAUUGAACUGCUUUUGAAACUGUAUAUCUAGAAUGUGGAAGAGGUAGAUGGAAUUACUGGUGUAGGGGUAAAAUCCGUAGAGAUCAGUAGGAAUACCGAUUGCGAAGGC
rnacentral:rRNA from 1 species